UACGUAGGCAGCAAGCGUUGUUCGGAAUUACUGGGCGUAAAGAGUGUGUAGGCGGUGUUCUAAGUCUGUUGUGAAAUCUCCCGGCUUAACUGGGAGGGUGCGGCGGAAACUGGAAUGCUAGAGGAUGGGAGAGGUAAGCGGAAUUCCUGGUGUAGCGGUGAAAUGCGUAGAUAUCAGGAGGAACACCUGUGGUGUAGGCAGCUUACUGGGACCUUUCUGACGUGAGAACACAAAAGCGUGGGUAGCAAACAGG
rnacentral:rRNA from 1 species